rnacentral:tRNA from 1 species
GCCUCAGUAGCUCAGUAGGUAGAGCGAGUGGCUGUUAACCACUAGGUCGAAGGUCCGAGGUCAUCCCUUUUCUUAAAAGAAAAGGUCUAACAACCCCAAAAGAACUGAAUGGUGGAUAUCCUUCCUGAGGCG